CAUGUCUCUGUAAAUUUCCUGCCCUGGUUCCUUGGCAUCUUUAAGAUGCCAACCAUUGUCCUGGGUUUGAGGAACUUCAAAUGGCCAUUGACAGUUGUCUGCCUCUCGACGUAAAGCUAAAUGUUGGUGAAUGUAAGAACCCUAUUUAUUGAGCGAGUCCUGACUUGUAGAUGCUGUUUUUGCGCGUUGUUGGAAGCAAGUUGACGUUUUCCUUUCCUAAAAAACGGGUCAUGUCUUAUGGUACUGCCAUUUUGGAAGAGUUGUAUAAAUUUUUAUUGGAUGGAUGAAGCUUGCCCUCUAUGCUAGAAUGAGAGGGGUACUUCUUGUCGGGCAGAGUCAAUAUUAACCAGUGUUCCUUUUAGAGUGUUGUUUAUUUGCUGUUUAAAGGAUUCCAUUUCUUCCAUGUAUUGUACAUUUUACGAUACGUAUAUGUCACUUAUGCAAAUUGUAUAUUAUUGUCAUCCAUGCAAUUGGAAACCCCUGAGAAUAUUGCCAAAGCAGCAACUAACAAGAAUUCCGGGCUGGUGGUGGUAAGAAGAACAAAUAGUUUAGUCGGCAAAUAACAGAUCAUGGAACGGCAAAACCAUCGACAUCUAUGUCAGGAGGUUUGCAUGCAAAUUACGGGUGGGAACUUGAUGUCAGUUUGUAAUCUCAUGUAGUCUUUGCUGGAUACUAUCACAUCAUGGAAGGUUUCUAGGUGCUGACUGCUGAUUUAACUGUCUUUCAUGACUACUUGUUUAUCUCGUUGGACUACUAUCGUGUGUAAGUUUUUCUGUGCGCAUACAUUUGAUGGGUUGACUGGUAACUCCAAAGAUGGAGAUAUGAAACUACACCAUUUCGAUAUAAAAUAAUUAGUAGAUAAAACAAUCGUUGUCAAA